rnacentral:rRNA from 1 species
UCACACUAUCAUUAACUGAAUCCAUAGGUUAAUGAGGCGAACCGGGGGAACUGAAACAUCUAAGUACCCCGAGGAAAAGAAAUCAACCGAGAUUCCCCCAGUAGCGGCGAGCGAACGGGGAGCAGCCCAGAGCCUGAAUCAGUGUGUGUGUUAGUGGAAGCGUCUGGAAAGGCGCGCGAUACAGGGUGACAGCCCCGUACACAAAAAUGCACAUACUGUGAGCUCGAUGAGUAGGGCGGGACACGUGGUAUCCUGUCUGAAUAUGGGGGGACCAUCCUCCAAGGCUAAAUACUCCUGACUGACCGAUAGUGAACCAGUACCGUGAGGGAAAGGCGAAAAGAACCCCGGCGAGGGGAGUGAAAAAGAACCUGAAACCGUGUACGUACAAGCAGUGGGAGCACAGAGCAAUCUGUGUGACUGCGUACCUUUUGUAUAAUGGGUCAGCGACUUAUAUUCUGUAGCAAGGUUAACCGAAUAGGGGAGCCGAAGGGAAACCGAGUCUUAACUGGGCGUUAAGUUGCAGGGUAUAGACCCGAAACCCGGUGAUCUAGCCAUGGGCAGGUUGAAGGUUGGGUAACACUAACUGGAGGACCGAACCGACUAAUGUUGAAAAAUUAGCGGAUGACUUGUGGCUGGGGGUGAAAGGCCAAUCAAACCGGGAGAUAGCUGGUUCUCCCCGAAAGCUAUUUAGGUAGCGCCUCGUGAAUUCAUCUCCGGGGGUAGAGCACUGUUUCGGCAAGGGGGUCAUCCCGACUUACCAACCCGAUGCAAACUGCGAAUACCGGAGAAUGUUAUCACGGGAGACACACGGCGGGUGCUAACGUCCGUCGUGAAGAGGGAAACAACCCAGACCGCCAGCUAAGGUCCCAAAGUCAUGGUUAAGUGGGAAACGAUGUGGGAAGGCCCAGACAGCCAGGAUGUUGGCUUAGAAGCAGCCAUCAUUUAAAGAAAGCGUAAUAGCUCACUGGUCGAGUCGGCCUGCGCGGAAGAUGUAACGGGGCUAAACCAUGCAC